AAUAAGAAGAACUUGGAAACAGUUGUUAAAGCCAAAUUAUGAUUUUACCUAGCAAAUCAGCUAUAAAAAGGGAAGAAAGAAGAAAUUCCCAGUUGGAAAUAAACAGACUCUACCUUCUUUGCUUGAAGUUAAUUAAAAGGAAUUGAAAUUAUAGAGGAAGCUAAAGAAUA